rnacentral:sRNA from 1 species
CCUCCUUUCUAAGGAAUAUUUUUUAAAUAUUCAUCUUCAGUUUUGAAAGACUUAGUUCUUAUAAGUUUUUCUUUUUUAAGAAAAAAAAGAAAAGGGCCUAUAGCUCAGUUGGUUAGAGCACACGCCUGAUAAGCGUGAGGUCGAUGGUUCAAGUCCAUUUAGGCCCACCAACUGAAAAAAAAGGUCGUUUUCUUAUUCUUAAAAAAAGUUCUUUGAAAAGUAGAUAAACAAAGUAAAAUAAAAAAUCAAAGGAAUUAAGGGCGUACAGUGGAUGCCUUGGCACUAAGAGCCGAUGAAG